rnacentral:rRNA from 1 species
AUGUACCGCAUUGUUUUUCCGUGUCAUUCUUCUGAAGAAUCUGAAGUUUCUAAAUCUCUGUUGGUAAUGUUGCAGGCUUGUGCUGGUGACGCUGACGGUCAUCGAGAGGUUCGUGGACUGGAUGGUGUCGUGGCUGCCGAUGGAUUCCUUCGUCCGCUGGUGGUGAGGCACGAGCACGACAUCGAUCGAGGCCUGCUGGAGCUGAGGGUCAGAGCGAGGGACGUGACGGCAUCACAACUCAAGGCGGCGGCCGCCGUCGGUAAGGUGUGGCUCGCAAGGCUGCUCGAUGUGUUUCGUCGCAGCUGCAGGCCACGUGAUCAGGCCGGGCAGGCUUCGCACAUUGACUAG